CCUCUUCACAUUCUGUUGAUAAUGUUAGAUCAUUGUUUUAAUGUUUUAAGUUUACAUUCUAGCAUAUCUUACACAUUGAACCUUUAGGUAGCAGCCAGAGUGUUACUAAACAUGAAUCUGGCCUCCUGAUGGGUGGCAUUCACUCGUCUAGCUGUAACCAAACCCAAGACAACAGUGGCCUCUUCAAUAAUUCAGAAGGUGCCGGAGGCUGACAGGUUGGUGGUGAUGGUGAUAUCCUCUUUGUUGGAGCCCUCUGUCUGGAUGCGGACUGAGCUGUCGGUGUCGGUGCGGUAGCUGCUCACUCGGCCCGUGGGGGCCUUGAGCUAGAGCAAUUCCUCAGGCUUCACCGCUGAGCUCUAAUGGCUCUGGCCUGCUUCAGCUCAGCUGCAUAUUAGCUUGCUUUCUCUGGACGAGAGGGGCACGCAGGGGCAGGCUGCUCAGCAGAAGGAGAGGACUGCUUUCCCCCUGGAUGGCCACAAGUCCAUUCGGAUUGCAUCACCUCUGUGUCACAUGCUAGCUCUAUGACCUUUCACGCUGGGGCCCAACAAUAGCCCGGACACUUCAUAUCAGCGUCGCCUCCAGCAUAGCUAGCCUCAGUCUUCUCAUACUUUCACUUCCUCUUGCUGCGUGAGAAUUUCAGAUCACAUGUGACUGAUGACUGUACAUAUGAUAUAAGGGCAACAGCCAUGUGAUUGCUUCAAAAGAACUUCAACAGUUGUUUUACAUGAUCUAGCUGCUAUAAUUGAUGUAUAAUCCACCUAAGAACAUUUGCUUGAACCCAGUGACUAGAAAUAUUACCGGCCUGUUAAUUAGAGGCCAAGGGAACAAUUAGGCAUCCUUCAGAAUGCUUCAAGAUUUAAUAGAUUUACAGCAACCCUUAAGCAAGAGCACUUAUCAUUACAGCAAAAACAUUAGGAGGUCAGCAGAGCAUCUGCGUAUACAGUAAAUGUCAGAGCAAAUGAGGUUGCCAAGGGUUACAACAGAAAGACAGUGUAGCAGAUGUCUUUUGUUCUCAAGUCAGUCCUUUGUGUUUUGUGUCUGCAUUUAUCUAAAUUGAAUUCAAGGUAUAGGCUACAGGAUGUAAGUACAAAAUAAUUAAUAUGGGUAAACAUGUUUAGCAGUGCUCUUUGCUUCUGCAGAGAUGAAUGGAGCAAAUUAUGGUUUUGACCCUCAGGUGGCGGAGUGACCUUCAAAGCUAAUUAUAUACGAAAAACAAACACUCUUUAUUGAAGCAAAUGAAACUUGGAUGAUUGCUCGUAGGUAAAUAUGAAGUCUUUGUUUUAUUUGAAAGAGAAAAACAGGAAACUGAAUACCGUAAUUAAUUUUCUUCAUUUUAACCGUAACAUAUUUCUAUGUAAAUAAGCAUGUUUUGGACUGAUAGUUUAUGCUGCAGGACAUGCAUGUUAACUCUUAGUUAUUUUAUUAAAACCUAAUCUGACAUUUUUUGUUUGUUGUUGGUAGUUAUAUUGUAUCUUUAAUUAUUCCAUUUUACAGGGAAAUGGUGUUAAACUGGCCCCUUGCAAUAUACUGUAUGUACUGCAGACUUAACACUAUUUUCACCCUUUGUUCCAUUAUAACAUUUAAUAUACAUAAUGUAGCUCUUUCAUUACCGAUGCUAUGACGGUACUAUUGUAGAACGAUAUCUGUACAUGCCACAGUAUCCCUAUUUCUUCCAGAUUAACUCUGUGAUGUUAUUACAAAAACAUGUGGAAUUCAAACAUUCUGAAAAUGCUUUCAUUAUUUUCUAUGUUUUUCAUUAAUGGGGAGACUUGUGAGAAAUGCAGGAUAUCCUGAACAUCCAUUGUUUGUAAAGCCCUUUGUGUUACUUGUCUAUACAUUGAAAAAAUGAGGUAUACUCUGUCCAAUGCCUAUCACACGUUUCUUAAGAUCUGGUGACCCUUAAUUGAACAUAUUAAGAGGACGAGGUGUCAACCAGGAAAGUAAAUGUGGAUCCAAAAUUCCAAAUUUUAGCCUUCGUUUCGGGCCUUCCUCAACCUCACGUGGUGUAGUCUCCACGGACUCUAUUUUUGAUCCUACAUUCACUUGUGGACGUUCCAGUUAUCAUAUGAUUGACAUGCAUCCACACUUUUUUCUGUGUUUUAUUUUGUUUUUUUACUUUGUCAUGUCUUUGUGUUGUAAAAAAGGAAAGAAAUCAAAAAUAAAACGUUAAAAAGG